AAAAGGAAGCAGGCCGGCCUUAAAGGGACCUCAGCCAUUAUUUAUUUAAUUAAUUUAUUUAUAUUUAAAAGCCGCUCUCUCCUUCUUCCGAUGUUCUUAACGUCCCGGACAGAAGAGUAGGCUCCAGAAGCCAGGCGCAGCGGAGCUGCGGAGCCCGCUGCUGGAGACGUCAGCUCCUGCCCAUCGGAAGGCCAGGUGUGCGUGAGCUGUGCCCAGGGGUGUCCCGCACCCCGGCGCCCUGCGGGCUCUAACAGCUGGGAUUGCCCGGGGGAACUGGGCCCAGGGCUCAGGUGGAGCGGCUGAUGCCCGGAGCUGAAAGGUGAGACCACGCUGGUAAGGCUGGUACCAAGACCUUGCCCCUCCAGACCUGGGCCGAGACGACAAGGGGAGCCGCCAAGAUGCCAGAGGAAAAUAUCUUCCUGUUCGUGCCUAACCUUAUCGGUUAUGCCCGGAUUGUCUUCGCCAUCAUUUCCUUCUACUUUAUGCCCUGCUGCCCCUUCACGGCCUCCUCCUUCUAUCUACUCAGCGGACUCCUAGACGCUUUCGAUGGACACGC
rnacentral:lncRNA from 1 species